GACGAACCGAGCGAACGUUAUUCGGAAUCACUGGGCUUAAAGGGUGCGUAGGCGGGUCUUUAAGUCAGGGGUGAAAUCCUGGAGCUCAACUCCAGAACUGCCUUUGAUACUGAGGAUCUUGAGUUCGGGAGAGGUGAGUGGAACUGCGAGUGUAGAGGUGAAAUUCGUAGAUAUUCGCAAGAACACCAGUGGCGAAGGCGGCUCACUGGCCCGAUACUGACGCUGGAGGCACGAAAGCGUGGGGAGCAAACAGG
rnacentral:rRNA from 1 species